AUUGAACGCUGGCGGCAGGCCUAACACAUGCAAGUCGAGCGGCAGCACGGGUACUUGUACCUGGUGGCGAGCGGCGGACGGGUGAGUAAUGCCUAGGAAUCUGCCUGGUAGUGGGGGAUAACGCUCGGAAACGGACGCUAAUACCGCAUACGUCCUACGGGAGAAAGCAGGGGACCUUCGGGCCUUGCGCUAUCAGAUGAGCCUAGGUCGGAUUAGCUAGUUGGUGAGGUAAUGGCUCACCAAGGCGACGAUCCGUAACUGGUCUGAGAGGAUGAUCAGUCACACUGGAACUGAGACACGGUCCAGACUCCUACGGGUGGCAG
rnacentral:rRNA from 1 species